rnacentral:rRNA from 1 species
GAUGAACGCUAGCGGGAGGCCUAACACAUGCAAGCCGAGCGGUAUUGUUUUUUCGGAAAUGAGAGAGCGGCGUACGGGUGCGGAACACGUGUGCAACCUGCCUUUAUCUGGGGGAUAGCCUUUCGAAAGGAAGAUUAAUACUCCAUAACAUAUUGAACGGCAUCGUUUGAUAUUGAAAGCUCCGGCGGAUAGAGAUGGGCACGCGCAAGAUUAGCUAGUUGGUGAGGUAACGGCUCACCAAGGCGAUGAUCUUUAGGGGGCCUGAGAGGGUGAUCCCCCANACUGGUACUGAGACACGGACCAGACUCCUACGGGAGGCAGCAGUGGGGAAUAUUGGGCAAUGGAGGAAACUCUGACCCAGCGACGCCGCGUGCGGGAUGAAGGCCUGGUGUAACG